CUGAUGUGCGGCUUGAACCCACGAAACCAUGAGAUCAUGACCUGAGCCGAAACCAAGAGCUGGACACUUAACCGACUGAGCCACCCAGGCACCCCAUGUCCUUGAAUAUAUCUUGAAUCUAUUCACAUUUUUUCCAAUUCCAAUGAGCCCAUCCUAGUCUUAGCCAGGGUGGCUCAGCCAUACUACUGUAAUAACAGCUUCAAAAAGGCCAUUCCAUGGUCUCUCUGCCCACCCUCUAAUCCAUUUCUCACACAAAAGCUAUAAUGAUCUUAAAAAAUAAAAAAAUCAGAUCAAAGCGCCUUCCCACUAAAACCAUUCAAAGGUUUCCUGUUGCUCUUAGGAUAAACUCCUAAAUCCUUAAUCGAUCUACUGGGCCCUCCCUACCUACCUCACCAGCCUCAUCUUUAACAGCAUUUUCACCUUCUCGGUUAAGUUCCAGCCAUUUUGUUCUUUCAGUUCCACAAAUGCUUCAUCUUCUUUUCUACUUUAAAGACUUUGGACACGUUUUAUCCUCCAUCUGCAAUGCAUUUUUUUGUCUAAAUAGGGACUUGCACCAGUAGGUUAAUACAUAUCUGCUGAAUAAAACAACAUAUUUAAAAUAAUCUUUGUCAAGGAAAAUUCAGAAUUGUAGAAUUCUAGAACCUGGAUUCCUUAGUUACCAUCUAAUUCAGUCUUCUCAGAAGUCCAGAAAAUGUCUUUGCCCAAAGUAACAUUAUGGUAAAAAGCUAUGAUAAAUGCCCUAAAAAGGAUCAGCAAUCCAGAUGUGAACCUGGGGCCUGGGUUUGAAGAUUACAAUGCUGAAGCAACGUGAGCUCUUUCCAGAAGGCCAGGAACUGACUGAAGGAGGACUUGUGUUGAAGUGGAAACUGAGACCCAAAAGUUUGAAAACUUUCCCAAGAUGACUCAGCUAGGAAAGUCUAAAGCUGGAACUUGAGCCCACAUCUAUUUAGACUCCAACGUUCAUGCUCCCCUAUUUUCAUUAUUAUAUGGCAGUGAUCUCAAAGUAAUAGGAUCAGCCCUUGAAUGUGGACUUGGCUUCUCCCCAGUGGCAGACCUGGGACAUAACUGUGAGCAAAGAGUACUGGAGAGUACAUGCAUUCUCACUACUAAUAUGCACUUUUAUUCAACAUAGUACUGGAAGCCUUCGCCACAGCAAUCAGACAACAAAAAGAAAUGAAAGGCAUCUAAAUUGGCAAGAGCAACAAAUGCAAAAAUAAGAA